AGAAACUCAAAGGAAUUGACGGGGCCCGCACAAGCGGAGGAGCAUGUGGUUUAAUUCGAUGAUACGCGAGGAACCCUUACCUGGGCUCAAAUGUAUGUUGACGUAUUCUGAAAGGGAUACUUCUUCGGACAAUAUACAAGGUGCUGCAUGGUUGUCGUCAGCUCGUGCCGUGAGGUGUCGGGUUAAGUCCCGUAACGAGCGCAACCCUUGUCCUUAGUUACCAGCACGUUAUGGUGGGCACUCUAAGGAGACUGCCGGUGACAAACCGGAGGAAGGUGGGGAUGACGUCAAGUCAUCAUGGCCCUUACGGCCUGGGCUACACACGUGCUACAAUGGUCGGUACAAAGGGUUGCCAAGCCGCGAGGUGGAGCUAAUCCCAUAAAACCGAUCGUAGUCCGGAUCGCAGUCUGCAACUCGACUGCGUGAAGUCGGAAUCGCUAGUAAUCGUGAAUCAGAAUGUCACGGUGAAUACGUUCCCGGGCCUU
rnacentral:rRNA from 1 species